CCUACGGGAGGCAGCAGUGAGGAAUAUUGGUCAAUGGACGCAAGUCUGAACCAGCCAUGCCGCGUGCAGGAAGACGGCUCUAUGAGUUGUAAACUGCUUUUGUACGAGGGUAAACGCAGAUACGCGUAUCUGUCUGAAAGUAUCGUACGAAUAAGGAUCGGCUAACUCCGUGCCAGCAGCCACGGUAAUACGGAGGAUUCAAGCGUUAUCCGGGUUUAUUGGGUUUAAAGGGUGCGUAGGAGGUCGGAUAAGUUAGAGGUGAAAUCCCGAGGCUCAACUUCGGAAUUGCCGCUGAUACUGUUCGGCUAGAGAGUAGUGGCGGUAGGCGGAAUGUGUGGUGUAGCGGUGAAAUGCUUAGAGAUCAUACAGAACACCGAUUGCGAAGGCAGCUUACCAAGCUACUUCUGACGUUGAGGCACGAAAGCGUGGGGAGCGAACAGGAUUAGAUACCCCAGUAGUC
rnacentral:rRNA from 1 species